rnacentral:rRNA from 1 species
UACGAAGGGGGCUAGCGUUGCUCGGAAUUACUGGGCGUAAAGCGUACGUAGGCGGCUUCUUAAGUCGGUGGUGAAAUCCUGGAGCUCAACUCCAGAACUGCCUUCGAUACUGGAGAGCUCGAGUCCGGGAGAGGUGAGUGGAACUGCGAGUGUAGAGGUGAAAUUCGUAGAUAUUCGCAAGAACACCAGUGGCGAAGGCGGCUCACUGGCCCGGUACUGACGCUGAGGUGCGAAAGCGUGGGGAGCAAACAGG